rnacentral:rRNA from 1 species
ACUUAAAUUGAAGAGUUUGAUCAUGGCUCAGAUUGAACGCUGGCGGCAGGCCUAACACAUGCAAGUCGAGCGGUAGCACAGAGAGCUUGCUCUCGGGUGACGAGCGGCGGACGGGUGAGUAAUGUCUGGGAAACUGCCUGAUGGAGGGGGAUAACUACUGGAAACGGUAGCUAAUACCGCAUAAUGUCGCAAGACCAAAGUGGGGGACCUUCGGGCCUCAUGCCAUCAGAUGUGCCCAGAUGGGAUUAGCUAGUAGGUGGGGUAACGGCUCACCUAGGCGACGAUCCCUAGCUGGUCUGAGAGGAUGACCAGCCACACUGGAACUGAGACACGGUCCAGACUCCUACGGGAGGCAGCAGUGGGGAAUAUUGCACAAUGGGCGCAAGCCUGAUGCAGCCAUGCCGCGUGUGUGAAGAAGGCCUUCGGGUUGUAAAGCACUUUCAGCGGGGAGGAAGGCGUUAAGGUUAAUAACCUUGGCGAUUGACGUUACCCGCAGAAGAAGCACCGGCUAACUCCGUGCCAGCAGCCGCGGUAAUACGGAGGGUGCAAGCGUUAAUCGGAAUUACUGGGCGUAAAGCGCACGCAGGCGGUCUGUCAAGUCGGAUGUGAAAUCCCCGGGCUCAACCUGGGAACUGCAUUCGAAACUGGCAGGCUAGAGUCUUGUAGAGGGGGGUAGAAUUCCAGGUGUAGCGGUGAAAUGCGUAGAGAUCUGGAGGAAUACCGGUGGCGAAGGCGGCCCCCUGGACAAAGACUGACGCUCAGGUGCGAAAGCGUGGGGAGCAAACAGGAUUAGAUACCCUGGUAGUCCACGCCGUAAACGAUGUCGAUUUGGAGGUUGUGCCCUUGAGGCGUGGCUUCCGGAGCUAACGCGUUAAAUCGACCGCCUGGGGAGUACGGCCGCAAGGUUAAAACUCAAAUGAAUUGACGGGGGCCCGCACAAGCGGUGGAGCAUGUGGUUUAAUUCGAUGCAACGCGAAGAACCUUACCUGGUCUUGACAUCCACAGAACUUAGCAGAGAUGCUUUGGUGCCUUCGGGAACUGUGAGACAGGUGCUGCAUGGCUGUCGUCAGCUCGUGUUGUGAAAUGUUGGGUUAAGUCCCGCAACGAGCGCAACCCUUAUCCUUUGUUGCCAGCGGUUCGGCCGGGAACUCAAAGGAGACUGCCAGUGAUAAACUGGAGGAAGGUGGGGAUGACGUCAAGUCAUCAUGGCCCUUACGACCAGGGCUACACACGUGCUACAAUGGCAUAUACAAAGAGAAGCGACCUCGCGAGAGCAAGCGGACCUCAUAAAGUAUGUCGUAGUCCGGAUUGGAGUCUGCAACUCGACUCCAUGAAGUCGGAAUCGCUAGUAAUCGUAGAUCAGAAUGCUACGGUGAAUACGUUCCCGGGCCUUGUACACACCGCCCGUCACACCAUGGGAGUGGGUUGCAAAAGAAGUAGGUAGCUUAACCUUCGGGAUGGCGCUUACCACUUUGUGAUUCAUGACUGGGGUGAAGUCGUAACAAGGUAACCGUAGGGGAACCUGCGGUUGGAUCACCUCCUUACCUUAAAGAA